CCCAAGUAGCUGGGAUUACAGGCACCUGCCAUCAUGCCUGGCUAAUUUUUGUAUUUUUGGUGGAAACGGGGUUUCACCAUGUUGGCCAAACUGGACUCAAACUCCUGAUCUGAAGUGAUCUGCCCAUCCCGGCCUCUACAGUCUUUUUGACAUGACCUGACCCCUGACCAUUGCCUUUGUGAAAUGGAAACACUGCGCUUUUUUUUUUUUUUAAAAAAAACAAUCCUUGCUUUUUUGUGAGCUUGCAGACUUUUGGCAUUUUCCAAUUGCUGUAUUUAAUUUUGGCUUCAAAAAGUAUUCGGGUUUUGAGUCCCAAAAAUAAUAAUAGAUACUGCUUGAUGACUGGCUAUACAAGAUAGCUUCUCCUGCAGUGAGAAAGGCAUUGAAAUGACGUCGCUGUGGCUCGCGCCUGUAAUCCCAACACUAUGGGAGGCCAAAGCAGGCGGAUCAUGAGGUCAGGAAUUCGAGACCAGGUUGACCAACAUGGUGAAACCUUCUCUACUAAAAAUACAAAAGUUAGCUGGGCAUUGUGGUGCACGCCUGUAAUCAGCUACUGAGAGAAUUGCUGAACCUGGGAGGUGGAGAUUGCAGCGAGUGGAGAUCGUGCCAUUGCACUCCAGCCUGGGCGACAGGGCAAGAUUCUGUUCCCCACCCCCCACAAAAAAAAAAAAAAGGCAUUGAAGUUAAGAUAGACUAUAUAGUUAGAUCCUGGACACACAGGGAUUUUGAGGAUUGAUGUUAAUGGGAGCCUGUCUAUAUGUACAUUUUAGCAGUUAACAGGUUUGGAGUAAAUUUGUAAAACAACAGUAAUUGCCAUGUAGGUUUACUGUCAUAGUGGAAGAUGAUUAAGUUGAUGGUACAUACAGGUAUUUUGCUAUGAAAAUGUUGUGACAAACAGGAUGAUUGUGUAAUUUACGUUCCAAGCUCUAGUUUGAGAAUGGAAGAAUGUGAUAAAAUUUUGCCAACUGAACAGGCAUAAAGCCCUGUUAAUAAAGGCACUUGGUCUUAAGGUUAGCAUUUGUUUCUAAACUCUGUGAGAGUUGAUUUAGGUGAUACCCAGUGUCUGGGAAAAAUGGAUACUCGUUUAGAACAAUAAUUUGGGGGGCAGUGGACUAACUAGGGUUUUUAGAUUGAGGUUUGUGUUCAUAUAUCUGUAUCUGCAAAUACUCAGCCAUAAAUGUCUCUGCCUGUAAGUUAGGUAUAAUACAAGUUCCAUUUGGUAUCAAAAAGAACUACCCUUAAUGUCUUAUGACUAGUUUAUGGAAUGUACCAGACCUAGAGAGGAGUUGUUCUAACCUGGAGCUUUUGAAAAUGUUUCUGGUUCAUACCCUAGACCAAUUAUGUCAGACUGCAGAAUAGGACUCAGACAUCAGAAUUGUGAAGCUCCCAGGAGAUUUCAAGGGCAUUCUCUCCAGCAGGUGACUGGGCACGACCACUACAAUGCUGAUCUGAAACCAAUCUAUGGGUUCAAUGGAAGGUUUGGCUAUCGCCGGAAUACUCCAGCCCUCCGUCGGAGCACGUCCGUCUUUGGAGAGGUCACCCACUUCCCUCUGUUCUAACAGCAUCUUUUCCCUUCCUAGCCAUCGACCUGAAUGUCUAAGACAAAUGUUUAGAUGAACUCUUAAUGUUAUUUUACAUUAAAAAAUUUAAUUUGUGUCUCCA